AAUCCUUUGCCGUCAUGCCCGACUUUCUCUUUCUUCACUCUCUGACUGCUCUCCCUCUUCCUUUCUUACGGCGACAGCGAGAUAAGUAAUGGCAAGGACGACAGUGGUGAGUGAAUGAAGGAAGGCGAUGAUGAGUGAAUGAACUAUGGCAAGGAUGGCAAUGACGAUUAUUCUGGGUUCAAUUUUCCCUCCCUAACUUGUCUUCCUCUUCCUUGGAUUUCUGGUUCAAGUGUUUCAAGUUAUCCCCACCAAAGUCAUCUGGUAAAGACACAUUAAGCAAAUUCGAAUACAUAUCUACAUUAUAAACAGAGUGAAACCAGAGUUUUAUUGUCGCAAGACCUUCUGCGAAAAAGGUUCCUCUUAAAAGCUUUUCUUUUUGAAUUAAUCAAAUGGCUUUGAGAGGGGUUUGGCAACUGCAAAAACUAAUUGCAAGCUAUUGUGAUUGGGGUGGAAGUAGCAGAGGAAUAAGGUAUGCUUCUCAAUAUUACAAUUUCAAGUUUUGUUUUGCAUUUUGAUCAAGGUUUAUUUGUUUGUAGCGUUUUGUGCAAAAUUAAUUGCAGGGGUGAAUUUAAAUACUAUUGUAUCCAACAUGCCGUUAUAUAUGUUAUAUUGCUCUUAUGAUCCGUUUCUUUCAUUUUACGAUAAUAAGCGUGUUGUACUUUCAUUUUUCACAUUUUUAGUAGGUCUAGUAGUUAUAGGUUACCAAUUGUGAUAUAUUCAAAAACACAUUUUUCUUGUUACCUAAAUAAUAUAAUUUGUUGUUGGAUACAAAUUAAGAGCUUAAAAUCAUCAUGAUCACCCACUGAUUUUUAAUCAUAAGAUUGACUCAUCACUAGUGUGCUACAUUUGAAUUUGAGGUGUCUGAACGAAGACAGUUUAUGAUACUCACUUGAGCUACUGGGUCAAAGACCAUGGAGAAAGAAUGCUAAGUGAUUCACUAUUGUGGUAAUUUAAGUAAUCAAUGGUUGUUACUGUUUUGUGAUUCGCGAAGGUACUUUCUGUCAGAAUGACUAUGGAAUCCUAAAAAAUCUGAGAAUAUAUGGCCAGCUGAAAUUGCCAGAAUUCAAUCUUGGCGACAUACCCAAAUCAUUACCUUUAUGGAUGGCUUAUGGAGGAAAUGAUGCUUUAGCAUAUGCGAUUGAUUUUGCUCACACUCUGAAGGAACUACCAUCCACACCAGAACAUCUUUUGCUUGAAGAUUAUGGUCAUUUUGACUUUAUCUUGAGCUUAAAAGCUAAAAGAGAUAUUUAUGACCAUAUGACUAGAUUUCUUAAAUCUUUUGGAAACUAUAGUGGCUUUGCUAGUCCCCAACAACUAUGGGGGGAUGUAAAUAGUGCAUCGGUUGCUUAGCUCUCUGUAAUGUUUGUAAAUCGUGGAUUCUGGUUUGUCUUCUCUUCUCUGUGUAUAAGUAAACUCAAAACUCAAAGCACACUUGGGAGACUUUACAAUCUACAACUUCAGUAUCUAAUCAAAUGUUUUGGGAACUCAAA